CCCAGAGUCGUAGGCUUUGCCUGCUAUCUCCUACCCAUGUCUUUUGAGUACCUUACGUUUCCUCGGUGGGUUCGCCCACCGAUUGGACAAAUUUAAACCCUUUGCAGUUGAAAUCAGCGUCUGAAAAAAACUUAGUAGCUA
rnacentral:misc_RNA from 1 species